UUUGUUCAGUAUUUCUAUCGUUGGGUAUGUGUUGAAAAGAAAACCCUUGAAAUAGAUUGCUUUUUGCAUGUGGUGGUGUUUCGCUCUGUCAGCUAUGCCAGCUGUUGAACCAGCAGCCUGCAUCAAUGUACCACAGGGAAUCCUGACACAUUAAGAAGACCACUAUUCCUUAAAUGAAGAUCAUCAUUCAGUUCAAUCAACCACAGAGUCCUCAUCUACUUUGUGUUGCUAAGCCUUCAGCAUCCCAGGUAUACAGAUUUCUAAGCUUCUCUGAUUAGCCAACCAUCAUCAAUACACUUCAGCUAUUCAUUGUGGCUUGUCUUCCUCUCUUCUUAGUCCGCCAAACGCCAACAUGGAAUAAGGUUCAUCUUCAUUGCCUUACCCUGAGGAUUGUCAUUGUCAUUGCUACAACACUGCCGUUUCGACAAUUUCGGUAGUUUUGCCCUCCAGUGGACCACACGCAUUUACAUUUUCUUCGUCUUCCUGUCAUUGUCUACUCCUUCGCCUCAUCGCUGUCUUCAUCAACGUCUUCGCCUCAUCGCUGUCUUCAUCAACGUCUUCGCCUCAUCGCUGUCUUCAUCAACGUCUUCGCCUCAUCACUGUCUUCGUCGACGUCUUCGCCUCCAUCUCCGUCUCGUCGUUGUCUUGGCCGUCUUCGCCUUUGUUUCAUCGCCGUCUUGGCCGUCUUUGUCGACGCCAUCACCUCGUCGCCGGCUUCGCCUUCGCCCUUCACGUAGGGAGUUCACCGUGGAUCGUCGCCUUGGUAUUGAUUUAUUUUUCAUUGUAAUGUUUAAGUUAACCCGUUGGCUGCCACCCCGUUUGCGUCCCAUUUUUUUUGUAGCUUGUAGGGACCGGCCGCAAUGGCCUUCGCCGCAAGGCGCCUUAGGCAAU